ACAAAUAAACACAUACGUGUCCAAUAUGGUGGAAAUACAGGGCAAGAAUCUGACAUCGCUUCAGCCUUUGAUAAUCAAAACAACAGGGUUUCUACCUCUACAGAGGAAGAAAAACCACAGGACAAUGGAGACGACACAGACACUCGAUACAGACACGCUCUAAUACAGCUUUCAGUAGCAGCAGCUUGACCAAGAAGGGGCGGCGAAUCAAGGUCAGUAAAUGUGCUAAAACCAGCAUGCUUCUGGCCGGAUCAGCGGCAAACACGGGAAAAGAACCCCGUGGUCGUGAUUCACCAGCGAUCUAAACAUCUGCACAUCUGGAUCCGCUCAGACGCCGACAGGUUGAGUGUUUACUGGGAUCAGGUGAAUGAAGUGUGUUCAAAGGCAAGUACCUGACACCUCGAGCACAUCUGUGAUCUAACGCUCGUUUAAGGUCUGUAACAGCGUUUGCGACGGAGGAACCGAACACGGAUGAAGCUGAAGGAUAAACAGCACAGUAGCGUUCGAGCAUAAAAACCCGAUGCACUCCGCUG